GGAAUAUUGCGCAAUGGAGGGAACUCUGACGCAGCGACGCCGCGUGAGCGAUGAAGGUCUUCGGAUCGUAAAGCUCUGUCCUUGGGGAAGAAGGGAGCCGUAAGGCCUCUUGACGGUACCUUACCAGAAAGCCCCGGCUAACUACGUGCCAGCAGCCGCGGUAAUACGUAGGGGGCAAGCGUUGUCCGGAAUUAUUGGGCGUAAAGGGCGCGCAGGCGGUUUUUUAAGUCUGAUGUGAAAUCUCGCAGCUUAACUGCGAGCGGUCAUUGGAAACUGGAAAGCUUGAGUACAGAAGAGGAGAGUGGAAUUCCACGUGUAGCGGUGAAAUGCGUAGAGAUGUGGAGGAACACCAGUGGCGAAGGCGACUCUCUGGUCUGUAACUGACGCUGAGGCGCGAAAGCGUGGGUAGCGAAC
rnacentral:rRNA from 1 species